GAUGAACGCUGGCGGCGUGCCUAAUACAUGCAAGUCGAGCGAACAGACGAGGAGCUUGCUCCUCUGACGUUAGCGGCGGACGGGUGAGUAACACGUGGAUAACCUACCUAUAAGACUGGGAUAACUUCGGGAAACCGGAGCUAAUACCGGAUAAUAUAUUGAACCGCAUGGUUCAAUAGUGAAAGACGGUUUUGCUGUCACUUAUAGAUGGAUCCGCGCCGCAUUAGCUAGUUGGUAAGGUAACGGCUUACCAAGGCAACGAUGCGUAGCCGACCUGAGAGGGUGAACGGCCACACUGGAACUGAGACACGGUCCAAACUCCUACGGGAGGCAGCAGUAGGGAAUCUUCCGCAAUGGGCGAAAGCCUGACGGAGCAACGCCGCGUGAGUGAUGAAGGUCUUCGGAUCGGAAAACUCUGUUAUUAGGGAAGAACAAAUGUGUAAGUAACUAUGCACGUCUUGACGGUACCUAAUCAGAAAGCCACGGCUAACUACGUG
rnacentral:rRNA from 1 species